rnacentral:tRNA from 1 species
CUCUCGGUAGCCAAGUUGGUUUAAGGCGCAAGACUGUAAUUUAUCACUACGAAAUCUUGAGAUCGGGCGUUCGACUCGCCCCCGAGAGA